rnacentral:rRNA from 1 species
AGCGAACGCUGGCGGCAUGCUUAACACAUGCAAGUCGAACGAACCUUUCGGGGUUAGUGGCGGACGGGUGAGUAACACGUGGGAACGUGCCUGUAGGUACGGAAUCACUCAGGGAAACUUGAGCUAAUACCGAAUGUGCCCUUCGGGGGUAAGAUUUAUCGCGUUUAGAGCGGCCCGGGACUGAUUAGCUAGUUGGUUGAGGAAAUGGCUCACCAAAGCUAGGAUCAGUGGCUGGUCUGAGAGGAUGCUCAGCCAGAUUGGGACUGAGACACGGCCCAAACUCCGACGGGAGGGAGCAGUAGGGUAUCUUGCGGGAUGGACGAAAGCCUGACGCAGCCAUGCCGGGUGAAUGAUGAAGGUCUUAGGAUUGUGAAAUUCUUUCAGCGGAGACGAUAAUGACGGUACCCGGAGAAGAAGCCCCGGCUAACUUCGUG